rnacentral:rRNA from 1 species
CGGGGGGGGCAAGCGUUGUUCGGAAUUACUGGGCGUAAAGGGUUCGUAGGUGGCCAACUAAGCCAGACGUGAAAUCCCUCAGCUUAACUGGGGAACUGCGUCUGGGACUGGAUGGCUUGAGUGCAGGAGAGGAACGCGGAAUUCCAGGUGUAGCGGUGAAAUGCGUAGAUAUCUGGAGGAACACCGGUGGCGAAGGCGGCGUUCUGGACUGCAACUGACACUGAGGAACGAAAGCCAGGGGAGCAAACGGGAUUAGAUACCCCGGUAGUCCUGGCCCUAAACGAUGAAUGCUUGGUGUGGCGGGUAUCGAUCCCUGCCGUGCCGAAGUUAACGCGAUAAGCAUUCCGCCUGGGGAGUACGGUCGCAAGGCUG